rnacentral:rRNA from 1 species
CCUACGGGAGGCUGCAGUGAGGAAUAUUGGUCAAUGGCCGGAAGGCUGAACCAGCCAAGCCGCGUGAAGGACGAAGGUGCCAAGCAUUGUAAACUUCUUUUAUAUGGGAAUAAAGUGAGGAACGUGUUCCUUUUUGUAUGUACCAUAUGAAUAAGCAUCGGCUAACUCCGUGCCAGCAGCCGCGGUAAUACGGGGGAUGCAAGCGUUAUCCGGAUUUAUUGGGUUUAAAGGGUGCGUAGGCUGUGAGGUAAGUCAGCGGUGAAAUGCCCCCGCUCAACGGGGUGAAGUGCCAUUGAUACUGGCUUGCUGGAAUGCGGAUGCGGUGGGAGGAAUGUGUGGUGUAGCGGUGAAAUGCAUAGAUAUCACACAGAACACCGAUUGCGAAGGCAUCUCACGAAUCCGCGAUUGACGCUGAUGCACGAAAGCGUGGGUAUCAAACAGGAUUAGAUACCCCUGUAGUC